rnacentral:rRNA from 1 species
UACAGAGGUCCCAAGCGUUGUUCGGAUUCAUUGGGCGUAAAGGGUGCGUAGGUGGCGCUGUAAGUCGGGUGUGAAAUUUCGGAGCUUAACUCCGAAACUGCAUUCGAUACUGCGGUGCUCGAGGACUGGAGAGGAGACUGGAAUUCAUGGUGUAGCAGUGAAAUGCGUAGAGAUCAUGAGGAAGACCAGUGGCGAAGGCGGGUCUCUGGACAGUUCCUGACACUGAGGCACGAAGGCCAGAGGAGCAAACGGG